rnacentral:rRNA from 1 species
ACGGAAGGCAGCAGUGGGGAAUAUUGGGCAAUGGGGGAAACCCUGACCCAGCAACGCCGCGUGAAGGAAGAAGGCCUUCGGGUUGUAAACUUCUUUUACCAGGGACGAUAAUGACGGUACCUGGAGAAAAAGCAACGGCUAACUACGUGCCAGCAGCCGCGGUAAUACGUAGGUUGCAAGCGUUGUCCGGAUUUACUGGGUGUAAAGGGCGUGUAGGCGGAGCUGCAAGUCAGAUGUGAAAUCCCGGGGCUCAACCCCGGAACUGCAUUUGAAACUGUAGCCCUUGAGUAUCGGAGAGGCAAGCGGAAUUCCUAGUGUAGCGGUGAAAUGCGUAGAUAUUAGGAGGAACACCAGUGGCGAAGGCGGCUUGCUGGACGACAACUGACGCUGAGGCGCGAAAGCGUGGGGAGCAAAUAGGAUUAGAUACCCUGGUA